rnacentral:tRNA from 1 species
GUCUGUGUAGCUUAAUGGUUUAAAGUGCUGGACUGUCAAUCCAGAGAACAGGGUUCAAUUCCCUCACAGACU